rnacentral:rRNA from 1 species
UACGGAGGGUGCGAGCGUUGUUCGGAAUCACUGGGCGUAAAGGGCGUGUAGGCGGUCCGCUAAGUCUGAUGUGAAAGCCCGGGGCUCACCCCCGGGAAGUGCAUUGGAAACUGGCGAACUCGAGUCCCGGAGAGGAGAGUGGAAUUCCUGGUGUAGCGGUGAAAUGCGUAGAUAUCAGGAGGAACACCGGUGGCGAAGGCGGCUCUCUGGACGGUGACUGACGCUGAGACGCGAAAGCGUGGGGAGCAAACAGG